rnacentral:rRNA from 1 species
UAUGGUUCCUUAGAUCGCACUUACUACUUGGAUAACUGUGGUAAUUCUAGAGCUAAUACAUGCGCAGAGCCCCAACCCUCGUGGAAGGGGCGCUUUUAUUAGAUCAAAGCCAAUCGAGUUUCGGCUCGUUUCUUUGGUGACUCUGAAUAACUUUGCUGAUCGCAUGGUCUUGUACCGGCGACGUAUCUUUCAAGUGUCUGCCUUAUCAACUUUCGAUGGUGCGUUAUGCGCCUACCAUGGUUGUAACGGGUAACGGGGAAUUAGGGUUCGAUUCCGGAGAGGGAGCCUGAGAAACGGCUACCACA